rnacentral:rRNA from 1 species
GAGGAAUAUUGGUCAAUGGGUGCAAGCCUGAACCAGCCAUCCCGCGUGAAGGACGACUGCCCUAUGGGUUGUAAACUUCUUUUGUAUAGGGAUAAACCUACCCUCGUGAGGGUAGCUGAAGGUACUAUACGAAUAAGCACCGGCUAACUCCGUGCCAGCAGCCGCGGUAAUACGGAGGGUGCAAGCGUUAUCCGGAUUUAUUGGGUUUAAAGGGUCCGUAGGCGGACUUAUAAGUCAGUGGUGAAAGCCUGUCGCUUAACGAUAGAACUGCCAUUGAUACUGUAAGUCUUGAGUAUAUUUGAGGUAGCUGGAAUAAGUAGUGUAGCGGUGAAAUGCAUAGAUAUUACUUAGAACACCAAUUGCGAAGGCAGGUUACCAAGAUAUAACUGACGCUGAGGGACGAAGGCGUGGGGAGCGAACA